rnacentral:misc_RNA from 1 species
AAGUCGUAACAAGGUUUCCGUAGGUGAACCUGCGGAAGGAUCAUUAACACGUAGUCCCUUUUCAACCCCUGUGAACUUGUCUGCAAGGUGUGCGAGCUUUGAUGGCCUAAAUCAGCCGCCGUAUGUUGACUAGGCUGUUGCCAAAUGCUUGUUGGUCUGCGUGACUUAGCUGCACGAGGCAUCUCCACACUGCAGUACGGCCCCCUUUUUUUGACGUUUACUAAUUGAACUAACUUGUUGCAGAAGAAUCCAGGAACUGCGGUUCUUUGGCUGCUUCUUCUGAUUUGCAAAACUGUUACAACUCUUAGCAACGGAUAUCUUGGCUCUC